GACUGUACCUGUGCUGAUAACCAGGUUGCUGCCUGUCACCAUGGACACUGUUCAUGUCACCAUGAUAGUGGUCAUCACCCACGUGCACUUUGUCAUAAUGGUCACCAGUGCACAUGUCCUGACGGACAGACAGGUGUUUGUAACUCAAAUGGACACUGUGAUUGUGGACACAACGGGAAAAGACAAGUAGCCUCUUGCACAACCGCUGCUGACUGUACAUGUGCUGAUAACCAGGUUGCUGCCUGUCACCAUGGACACUGUUCAUGCCACCAUGAUAGUGGUCAUCACCC